AGUGAACGCUGGCGGUAGGCCUAACACAUGCAAGUCGAACGGCAGCACAGUAAGAGCUUGCUCUUACGGGUGGCGAGUGGCGGACGGGUGAGGAAUACAUCGGAAUCUACUUUUUCGUGGGGGAUAACGUAGGGAAACUUACGCUAAUACCGCAUACGACCUACGGGUGAAAGCAGGGGAUCUUCGGACCUUGCGCGAUUGAAUGAGCCGAUGUCGGAUUAGCUAGUUGGCGGGGUAAAGGCCCACCAAGGCGACGAUCCGUAGCUGGUCUGAGAGGAUGGUCAGCCACACUGGAACUGAGAAACGGUCCAGACUCCUACGGGAGGCAGCAGUGGGGAAUAUUGGACGAUGGGCGCAAGCCUGAUCCAGCCAUACCGCGUGGGUGAAGAAGGCCUUCGGGUUGUAAAGCCCUUUUGUUGGGAAAGAAAAGCAGCAGGUUAAUACCCCGCUGUUCUGACGGUACCCAAAGAAUAAGCACCGGCUAACUUCGUG
rnacentral:rRNA from 1 species